rnacentral:rRNA from 1 species
GCAUAUCAAUAAGCGGAGGAAAAGAAACCAACAGGGAUUGCCUUAGUAACGGCGAGUGAACAGGCAAGAGCUCAGAUUUGAAAGCCUUUCGGGGCAUUGUAUUCUGAAGCCUUGAUUCUGAGAACCGGUACCUAAGUCUUCUGGAAAGGAGCGCCAAGGAGGGUGAUAGCCCCGUACGGUACUGACCUCAUUGUAGAAUCUUGGCGUGGAGUCGAGUUGUUUGGGAAUGCAGCUCAAAUGGGUGGUAUGCUCCAUCUAAAGCUAAAUAUCUGCGAGAGACCGAUAGCGAACAAGUACUGUGAAGGAAAGAUGAAAAGAACUUUGAAAAGAGAGUGAAAAAGUACGUGAAAUUGUUGAAAUGGAAGGAUAGGCCGCUAACCACGUAGAGCCGUGUCUGAGGGGAGGAUAAAAGCUGUAGAAUGUGGCUCUUCGGAGUGUUAUAGCUGCAGUGCAUACUCCCACUCGGGCGCGAGGACCUAAGGCUCUGCUAAAUGGUGGUCUAUCACCCGUCUUGAAACACGGACC